UAGUUUCGCUUUUAAAUUAAG
rnacentral:piRNA from 1 species